AUAAAUUGGAAAACACCUGAGACAGCAAAAAACUUUUCAAAUUUUACCAGCUCUCCCUAUUUCCGAUAGCUUCAACAUAGCUGCGGAAAAAUAAGCUACCGUUGGAAUGCCUGUAAAAUAGAGAAUCAAAAACAUUUCUCUGUACUCAACUUUGAUACUUACAAAUCUUAAUCCUCCAAAUUUAUAGGCGGUGGGUGUGUUUGAAGUAUAUUGAUUGUUGUAACGGCUGAGGAAGACUUUGAUAUGGGACCUCAAUAAAGGCAGCAUAUUCUCUGUUACUGAACUUCUAAUACUUUCUCCUGGUAAUCACUUACAAAUGAAUCUUUAUUGCAAUCGAUUG
rnacentral:misc_RNA from 1 species